UGGGGAAUUUUGGACAAUGGGCGAAAGCCUGAUCCAGCAAUGCCGCGUGUGUGAAGAAGGCCUUCGGGUUGUAAAGCACUUUUGUCCGGAAAGAAAUCCUUGGCUCUAAUACAGUCGGGGGAUGACGGUACCGGAAGAAUAAGCACCGGCUAACUACGUGCCAGCAGCCGCGGUAAUACGUAGGGUGCAAGCGUUAAUCGGAAUUACUGGGCGUAAAGCGUGCGCAGGCGGUUUGCUAAGACCGAUGUGAAAUCCCCGGGCUCAACCUGGGAACUGCAUUGGUGACUGGCAGGCUAGAGUAUGGCAGAGGGGGGUAGAAUUCCACGUGUAGCAGUGAAAUGCGUAGAGAUGUGGAGGAAUACCGAUGGCGAAGGCAGCCCCUGGCAAGUACUGACGCUCAUGCACGAAAAGCGUGGGGGAGCAAAACAGGAUUAGAUACCCUGGUAGUCCACGCCCCUAAAACGAUGUCAACUAGUUGUUGGGGGAUUCAUUUCCUUAGUAACGUAGCUAACGCGUGAAGUUGACCGCCUGGGGGAGUACGGUCGCAAAGAUUAAAAACUCAAAGGAAUUGACGGGGGUCAUAGCUGUUUCCU
rnacentral:rRNA from 1 species